GGUUGCAUAGUCUAGUGGUUAUGAUAUCUGCUUUACACCACACAGUGAAUUACGCAGAGGGUCUCAGGUUCGAUCCCUGAUGCAGCCA